GGCUCUGUAGCUCAGUCGGUAGAGCAACGGAUUGAAGCUCCGUGUGUCCCUGGUUCGAUUCCUGGCGGAGCCA